rnacentral:rRNA from 1 species
AUUGAACGCUGGCGGAAUGCUUUACACAUGCAAGUCGAACGGCAGCACGGACUUCGGUCUGGUGGCGAGUGGCGAACGGGUGAGUAACAUAUCGGAACGUAUCCAAUAAUGGGGGAUAACGUGUCGAAAGAUUCGCUAAUACCGCAUACGCCCUACGGGGGAAAGCUGGGGACCUUCGGGCCUGGCGUUAAUGGAGCGGCCGAUAUCUGAUUAGCUAGUUGGUGAGGUAAAGGCUCACCAAGGCGACGAUCAGUAGCUGGUCUGAGAGGACGACCAGCCACACUGGAACUGAGACACGGUCCAGACUCCUACGGGAGGCAGCAGUGGGGAAUUUUGGACAAUGGGCGCAAGCCUGAUCCAGCCAUUCCGCGUGAGUGAAGAAGGCCUUCGGGUUGUAAAGCUCUUUCGCAAGGGAAGAAAACUUAGCCACUAACAUUGGUUGAGGUUGACGGUGCCUUGAUAAGAAGCACCGGCUAACUACGUGCCAGCAGCCGCCGUAA